UGUCAGAUCCCCGGCGAUGGAAAGCAGUCAACUCAUGGGUAGUAAAAAGAAUGUAUUGACAACACUAUAGGUUUGAAAAGGAAAGUUUUAUUAGAUGGAAAGAACAGUGCAGAAGACCGCAGCAGAGGACCUCAGCAAGAGAGAACUAAAAAUGGUCAAUUACAAAGCACAACAUAAGACUGGAACAUUGGAGUUAAGUAGCAGAGAUCAAAAGAGGAGAUUGCAGAUGGAGGUGUUGUAUGUGACUGUUUUACAUGGAUUCUUCGCUCUGGUAGCAGAUGUUGAAGAAGCUCUAUGAAUGUCCUGUCUCUAUGUCCCAGUUUGUCAGUUUCAAAUACUCAUGUAUCUGAUUGUCAAUGCUGGAGAGCUGGGGCCAGGGCAGUAGUUGAUGAAUAUCACCUGACUGUCUCCUGCAGAAAAAGCAUUCCCAGAAGCACGGAGAAGUGAGGAGAAAAGGCAAUGCACCUGGAGCUGGAGACCAAGGCCCUGUUCUUACUGAUGGCCCUUGGAGCAGAUAUUUGAAUUGGAGAGAUAAAACCGUGGUUUUUGGGGUGUUAAUUUUGGUGGCUGAUGCAUUCUGUGAUUGAUUUGGCUAUUACAACUGGUAUUGAUUUUAAACACAUUAAUUGCAAAAUCUCAAUUGUGAUUUGAUUUCUGUAUUUACAAUACUAAAAACGAGGCUUUCGCCAGGAGAAGACAAUUGGCAGUACUCAGUUGGAAGUGCUUAAUUGUUAAUAUAUAUCAGCCGUGGUUCUUCAGCGUCGUCAGUGUUGCUCAGUCUUGCUCUUUGUGGCGACUACUGAAUGCUUGAAAAAUUCUCUCCUAUACUCCCACUCUGCACUGUAGAAGAGAAAGAGAGGAGAGUGGAAGAAAAAAGAGAGGGAGAGGAGAAAGAAAGAGAGGAGAGAGAAACAUGGGCAUGGAUGAUACAUAAG
rnacentral:lncRNA from 1 species